UACGAAGGGGGCUAGCGUUGCUCGGAAUCACUGGGCGUAAAGCGCACGUAGGCGGCUUUCUAAGUCAGGGGUGAAAUCCUGGAGCUCAACUCCAGAACUGCCUUUGAUACUGGAGAGCUUGAGUCCGGGAGAGGUGAGUGGAACUCCGAGUGUAGAGGUGAAAUUCGUAGAUAUUCGGAAGGACACCAGUGGCGAAGGCGGCUCACUGGCCCGGUACUGACGCUGAUGUGCGAAAGCGUGGGGAGCAAACAGG
rnacentral:rRNA from 1 species